rnacentral:misc_RNA from 1 species
UUUCCGUAGGUGAACCUGCGGAAGGAUCAUUACAAAGUUCAUACCCGAACGGAUACAACUCCCACCCUUUUGUAUUAUUACUUUUUUGCUUUGGCUAUCGCAAGCUCUCCAGAGAAUACCAAAACUCUUUUUAUUAAUGUAGUCUGAAUACUAUAUUAUAUUUAAAACUUUCAACAACAAAUCUCUUGUUUCUGUCAUCGAUGAAUAACGCAGCAGAUCUAAAGAUCACACUUCUUUACUCCAUUCACUCAUAUUCAUCUCUUAUUCCGUCUUCUGUUU